UUAGAUAACAUCUUUAUAUAUAUCUAUCCUAUACUAAAAGGGAUAUAUGAGGAGUAGGGAGGCUGUCCACGUCCUCAAUUAAAUCGACCAAUAGAAAAACAUUUUGUUGCCACGUCACAAGCGCUGAGAUAGAAUGGACAUUUUGUGUGAGCUACGUAAAAUUAUAUUCGGCCCAAAGGUGUUUAAGUUUUACAAUUCUCUUUUUCCAUUCUUCCAUUUCCUCUUCUCUGAUCCCUGAGUUCAUGCAUUACCCUUUAAACAAUCAAAGAUAAUCUUAAAAGUCUUCUUGAAUGUGUCGUUCCUCCUCCUCUUAAUCAUUCUUCUAUAUAAAUCUCCAUGUAUAUACCUAAAUCCACCCAAAAUAAAAAAUCAAAAAACCAAAAACCUCAUCUGAAGAAGCUACAUCCAUGACCAUGAAAUCCACCGGAUAAUCUCAACUCUCCACCAGAAAAUCUCCAGUCGCCGUAUAUUUCAACAACCUCUCACCAGGACUAGGAUCAAGAUGGAGGUCGCUUCAGAGGGUACCAAUCUCAUGAAGAAGGUGCAUCCUGAUGAGCACAUAGUACCUUCGUUAGGUUAGAAUCUCAAAACAGUGGGUUUCAGCAAAGUUUAGAAUUUUGCUUUAUAUUUGUAUGCAGAGAUCGAUCUCGAGUUGGAUGCUCUAAGUUUGUAAAAAAGGCUCAUUACUCUAAGGUUUUUUUUUUUUUUGUCGCUGGUGGAGAUUUGUUGCAGAACGCUGUGGCUUUUGAGUUCACAUCGGCUCCAGAUCACGUUUGUGUAAGCUGUAGUUAUCAUUCUUCGUUAAACCAAGCAUUUAGGUGAUUCGUAUUACUUUUCCCACUCUCUUUUGCAUUUAAUCGGCAUAACCAUCUUUCAGAGUAACCGAUUGAAGCUUGGAGCAUAUAUUAUUUUGUAGGCUCCGAUGAACAUCUUCCUUGCUACACAGGUAUGAAGGUGAUUAUUACAGAACUCUCUUGCAAUAGUAUCAUUAUCCUCCAAGGUAACCGCUGGAAGGUCUAAACUAUAAAUGUGUUCUUUCUCUGCGAUUAACAGCCACACUGCCAUGAAUUCUCCAUGUUCAAUCGAUUGUAUCUCUACAACUCAUUAUUCCUUUGUUAUCAUAUAGAUUUAUUGAAAAAUGCUAAUCCUUUUGUAGUUUGCUUUGUAGCUCUUUACGAGAGGAUGGAGCAGUUCUUCUGAAUGCUCUUAAGGUAUAUGCAGCACUACGAUGAUGUUAGACUGUCUAACCUUGGUAUGGAUGACACAAACGAUCCGGUUGAGACUCACCAGUAGCUAGGAAGUGUUAAGGACUGGAUCAGCUCCCGCCACCUCAAAACUCUAAAGCUCACAGAUUUCAUUCAAACUUCCUUGAUAUCUCAAUAAAAUCAUGGACCAGCUGGAGAAAAAAAUGUGUUCUUUGUAGAGCAGGGAAGGACACAUGCGUCAUAAACGGAGACACGCGAAUUAAAGUUUGUGAAAAUGGAUCUGAUGGUAAAGUACUAAAGCUGCUCCAAAAGACGGGAAAGCUAUUACUUCUCAAGACUACAUGUACAUGAAAGUGCUCUGUACCAUUAGAUGCAAUAUGUAACCACUGACCAUUACAGAGCUUCACAACAAGUUGGAUGGUGAAGCCAACCAGACUACAGCAGUUUGUAAGCUAAUCCAAGAAGGCUACAUGAAGAUUCUAGCAGCCGCUGUCUAGAGGGAAGCGUGUAAUUUUCUCAAGUCUAACCGAGUAGAAGCUGAAUGUAGUUAGAAAGUUAUUGACCCAUUAACCACAGUGGAAGCAUAUGUGAACAGUGAUGGUGUAGCCAAUGCGCUUAUCCAACACCAGUGGCGUCCAAAGUCGUUUAUUACUGCAUUGUCUGUAGUUUGCCAGAGACAUGGGAUCUUGCCGUUUCCACAUCGAAUAAUCCAUAAGCUGAUUUUGGCAUGGAACAAUCGAGUGCUUUAAUUAGUUGUGGAUGCUCUCCAAGAACUUGAAAGAGUUAUCAGUAAAGUGAUUUUACAUUUAAGGUUCUUUCGUCUCCCAUGUCCUCUUCAGUUCAUACAUAAUAUGAUGAUCUUAGGGUUAUAACUUUCUUUUUGAUCAACCAUCAGGUUUAAUAUCACUAUAUGUUUUUGAUACGUCACUUCAUAUUUUCUUUUCUUUUUCUACUGCAAAUUGAUGUCAAAAUCAAAUUAAGGAUAUAAACUAUAAUAUAGAAGAUUAUUUUGAAUUAAGAAA